AUAUCAAUAAGCGGAGGAAAAGAAACUAACAAGGAUUCCCCUAGUAACUGCGAGUGAAGCGGGAAAAGCUCAAAUUUAAAAUCUGGCGGUCUUCGGCCGUCCGAGUUGUAGUCUGGAGAAGUGCUUUCCGCGCUGGACCGUGUACAAGUCUCUUGGAACAGAGCGUCAUAGAGGGUGAGAAUCCCGUCUUUGACACGGACUACCAGUGCUUUGUGAUGCGCUCUCAAAGAGUCGAGUUGUUUGGGAAUGCAGCUCAAAAUGGGUGGUAAAUUCCAUCUAAAGCUAAAUAUUGGCGAGAGACCGAUAGCGAACAAGUACCGUGAGGGAAAGAUGAAAAGCACUUUGGAAAGAGAGUUAAACAGUACGUGAAAUUGCUGAAAGGGAAACGAUUGAAGUCAGUCGCGUUAGCCAGGACUCAGCCUUGUUUUUACUUGGUGCAUUUUCUGGUUGACGGGCCAGCAUCGAUUUUGACCGCCGGAAAAAGAUUGGGGGAAUGUGGCACCUUCGGGUGUGUUAUAGCCCUCAGUCACAUACGGCGAUUGGGAUCGAGGACCGCAGCACGCCUUUAUGGCCGGGGUUCGCCCACGUUCGUGCUUAGGAUGCUGGCGUAAUGGCUUUAAACGACCCGUCUUGAAACACGGACCAAGGAGUCUAACAUGCCUGCGAGUGUUUGGGUGGAAAACCCGAGCGCGUAAUGAAAGUGAAAGUUGAGAUCCCUGUCGCGGGGAGCAUCGACGCCCGGACUUGAACUUCGGUGAUAGAUCUGCGGUAGAGCAUGUAUGUUGGGACCCGAAAGAUGGUGAACUAUGCCUGAAUAGGGUGAAGCCAGAGGAAACUCUGGUGGAGGCUCGUAGCGAUUCUGACGUGCAAAUCGAUCGUCAAAUUUGGGUAUAGGGGCGA
rnacentral:rRNA from 2 species